rnacentral:rRNA from 1 species
AAGUAACGCUAGCUAUAUGCUUAACACAUGCAAGUCGAACGUUGUUUUCGGGCGCGCUUGUCUCGCCUUGAGAACAAAGUGGCGAACGGGUGAGUAACACGUGGGUAACCUGCCCAAAAGAAGGGGAUAACAUUUGGAAACAAGUGCUAAUACCGUAUAACCAUGAUGACCGCAUGGUCAUGAUGUAAAAGGUGGUUUUGCUAUCGCUUUUGGAUGGACCCGCGGCGUAUUAACUAGUUGGUAAGGUAACGGCUUACCAAGGUGAUGAUACGUAGCCGAACUGAGAGGUUGAUCGGCCACAAUGGGACUGAGACACGGCCCAUACUCCUACGGGAGGCAGCAGUAGGGAAUCUUCCACAAUGGGCGCAAGCCUGAUGGAGCAACGCCGCGUGAAUGAAGAAGGUCUUCGGAUCGUAAAGUUCUGUUAUUAGAGAAGAACACGUGUAAGAGUAACUGAUUAUGCGUUGACGGUAUCUAAUCAGCAAGUCACGGCUAACUACGUGCCAGCCGCCGCAGUAAGAC